rnacentral:rRNA from 1 species
AGAGUUUGAUCAUGGCUCAGAACGAACGCUGGCGGCGUGCUUAACACAUGCAAGUCGAGUGCGUAGCUCCUGUAGCAAUACAGGGGUGGGCGCACGGCGCACGGGUGCGUAACACGUGGGCAAUCUGCCCUCCGAUGGGGAAUAACCCCGCGAAAGCGGGGCUAAUUCCGCAUAACAUUUCCUGGACCUUGGUCUGGGGACUCAAAGCCGUAGGCGUCGGAGGAGGAGCCCGCGCCCGAUUAGCUAGUUGGUGAGGUACGGCUCACCAAGGCAAUGAUCGGUAGCUGGUCUGAGAGGAUGCCAGCCACACUGGAACUGAGACACGGUCCAGACUCCUACGGGAGGCAGCAGUGGGGAAUCUUGCGCAAUGGGCGAAAGCCUGACGCAGCGACGCCGCGUGGGGGAUGAAGCUUCUCGGAGUGUAAACCCCUUUCGACUGGGACGAAUGCCUCGCAAGAGGAGUGACGGUACCAGUAGAAGAAGCCCCGGCUAACUACGUGCCAGCAGCCGCGGUAAGACGUAGGGGGCCAGCGUUGUUCGGAAUUACUGGGUGUAAAGGGUUCGUAGGCGGUGCGGCAAGUCGGGAGUGAAAUCUCUGGGCUUAACCCAGAGGCUGCUUCCGAAACUGCUGUGCUUGAGUGUGGGAGAGGCGCGUGGAAUUGCAGGUAGCGGUGAAAUGCGUAGAUAUCUGCAGGAACACCCGUGGCGAAAGCGGCGCGCUGGACCACAACUGACGCUGAGGAACGAAAGCUAGGGGANNAAACAGGAUUAGAUACCCUAGUAGUCC